GAUGAACGCUAGCGGCAGGCUUAAUACAUGCAAGUCAAGGGGGUAGCAAUACAACCGGCGCACGGGUGAGUAACGCGUACACAACAUACCAUAUACUGGGGUAUAGCUUUGGGAAACUGAAGGUAAUCCCCCAUAACAUUGCGAGAGGGCAUCUGAUUGCAAUUAAAGUUUCGGCGGUAUAUGAUUGGUGUGCGUUUGAUUAGCUAGUUGGUAGGGUAACGCCUACCAAGGCGACGAUCAAUAGCUGGCGUGAGAGCGCGACCAGCCACACUGGAACUGAGACACGGUCCAGACUCCGUACGGGAGGCAGCAGUAGGAAUAUUGGACAGUGGAGAAACUCUGAUCCAGCCA
rnacentral:rRNA from 1 species